UACGGAGGGUGCAAGCGUUAUCCGGAUUCACUGGGUUUAAAGGGUGCGUAGGUGGCGGGGUAAGUUUGAUGUGAAAUCUCCGGGCUUAACCCGGAAACUGCAUUGAAUACUAUUCUGCUCGAGGUUUGGAGGGGGGACUGGAAUUCUCGGUGUAGCAGUGAAAUGCGUAGAUAUCGAGAGGAACACCAGUGGCGAAGGCGAGUCCCUGGACAACACCUGACACUGAGGCACGAAAGCUAGGGGAGCAAACAGG
rnacentral:rRNA from 1 species